AGAGUUUGAUCCUGGCUCAGGAUGAACGCUAGCGGCAGGCCUAACACAUGCAAGUCGAGGGGCAUCACGGAAAAGCUUGCUUUUCUGGUGGCGACCGGCGCACGGGUGAGGAACACGUAUGGAACCUGCCCCUGUCAGGGGAAUAGCCCAGGGAAACUUGGAUUAAUGCCCCAUGGUACCUGGGGAUCGCAUGAUCCCCCGGUUAAAGAUUCAUCGGACGGGGAUGGCCAUGCGCACCAUUAGCUAGUUGGUAGGGUAACGGCCUACCAAGGCAGCGAUGGUUAGGGGCCCUGAGAGGGGGAUCCUCCACACUGGUACUGAGACACGGACCAGACUCCUACGGGAGGCAGCAGUGAGGAAUAUUGGACAAUGGCCGAGAGGCUGAUCCAGCCAUGCCGCGUGCAGGAUGACUGCCCUAUGGGUUGUAAACUGCUUUUAUACGGGAAGAAGCCCCCCCACGUGUGGGGGGCUGACGGUACCGUAAGAAUAAGGACCGGCUAACUCCGUGCCAGCAGCCGCGGUAAUACGGAGGGUCCGAGCGUUAUCCGGAAUCAUUGGGUUUAAAGGGUCCGUAGGCGGGCCGUUAAGUCAGGGGUGAAAGUCUGCGGCUCAACCGUAGAAUUGCCUUUGAUACUGGCGGUCUUGAGUCAUGGUGGGGUCGCCGGAACAUGUGGUGUAGCGGUGAAAUGCAUAGAUAUCACAUAGAACACCGAUCGCGAAAGCAGGUGACCAACCAUGAACUGACGCUGAUGGACGAAAGCGUGGGUAGCGAACGGGAUUAGAUACCCCGGUAGUCCACGCCGUAAACGAUGGAUACUAGCUGUGGGGACUUUAUUGUCUCCGUGGCCA
rnacentral:rRNA from 1 species